UCCGAAUGCCAAUUAAUUUAACUUGGGAGUCAGAACAUGGGUGAUAAGGUCCGUGUUCGAAAGGGAAACAGCCCAGACCACCAGCUAAGGUCCCAAAAUAUAUGUUAAGUGGAAAAGGAUGUGGCGUUGCCCAGACAACUAGGAUGUUGGCUUAGAAGCAGCCAUCAUUUAAAGAGUGCGUAAUAGCUCACUAGUCGAGUGACACUGCGCCGAAAAUGUACCGGGGCUAAACAUAUUACCGAAGCUGUGGAUUGUCCUUUGGACAAUGGUAGGAGAGCGUUCUAAGGGCGUUGAAGCAUGAUCGUAAGGACAUGUGGAGCGCUUAGAAGUGAGAAUGCCGGUGUGAGUAGCGAAAGACGGGUGAGAAUCCCGUCCACCGAUUGACUAAGGUUUCCAGAGGAAGGCUCGUCCGCUCUGGGUUAGUCGGGUCCUAAGCUGAGGCCGACAGGCGUAGGCGAUGGAUAACAGGUU
rnacentral:rRNA from 1 species